UACGUAGAGUGCAAGCGUUGUCCGGAAUUAUUGGACGUAAAGAGCUCGUAGGCGGUUUGUCGCGUCUGCCGUGAAAACUCAGGGCUUAACCCUGAGCCUGCGGUGAGUACAAACAGACUAGAGUGUGGUAGGGGAGAUCGGAAUUCCUGGUGUAGCGGUGAAAUGCGCAGAUAUCGGGAAGAACACCCGUGGCGAAGGCGGCUCUCUGGGACGGUACUGACGCUGAGACGCGAAAGCGUGGGGAGCGAACAGG
rnacentral:rRNA from 1 species